rnacentral:rRNA from 1 species
GACGAACGCUGGCGGCGUGCUUAACACAUGCAAGUCGAACGGGCCCGCCCCUGUUUUUGGGGGUGGGUUGAGUGGCGAACGGGUGAGUAUCACGUGAGUAACCUGCCCCCUGCUCCUGGAUAACUGCUUGAAAGGGCGGCUAAUACGGGGUGUGCCGGCUGGUCCGCAUGGGCCUGGUCGGGAUAGUUUCAUCUUCGGGUGUUUCGGUGGGGGAUGGGCUCGCGGCCUAUCAGCUUGUUGGUGGGGUGAUGGCCCACCAAGGCGGUGACGGGUAGCCGGCCUGAGAGGGUGGGCGGCCACACUGGGACUGAGACACGGCCCAGACUCCUGCGGGAGGCAGCAGUGGGGGGUAUUGCACAAUGGGCGGAAGCCUGAUGCAGCGACGUCGCGUGAGGGAUGGGGGCCUUCGGGUUGUGAACCUCUUUCUCCGGUGGUGAAGGCCCUGUCCGGUGCGGCGGGGUUGACGGUAGCCGGGUAUGAAGCGCCGGCUAACUACGUG